GGCGGGAUUCCAGAGCGGUCAAAUGGGUCCGGCUGUAAACCGGAUGGCUAUGCCUUCGAAGGUUCGAAUCCUUCUCCCGCCA
rnacentral:tRNA from 1 species